GACGAACGCUGGCGGCGUGCUUAACACAUGCAAGUCGAACGGAAAGGCCCUGCUUUUGUGGGGUGCUCGAGUGGCGAACGGGUGAGUAACACGUGAGUAACCUGCCCUUGACUUUGGGAUAACUUCAGGAAACUGGGGCUAAUACCGGAUAGGAGCUCCUGCUGCAUGGUGGGGGUUGGAAAGUUUCGGCGGUUGGGGAUGGACUCGCGGCUUAUCAGCUUGUUGGUGGGGUAGUGGCUUACCAAGGCUUUGACGGGUAGCCGGCCUGAGAGGGUGACCGGCGACAUUGGGACUGAGAUACGGCCCAGACUCCUACGGGAGGCAGCAGUGGGGAAUAUUGCACAAUGGGCGGAAGCCUGAUGCAGCAACGCCGCGUGCGGGAUGACGGCCUUCGGGUUGUAAACCGCUUUCGCCGGUGACGAAGCGUGAGUGACGGUAAUGGGUAAAGAAGCACCGGCUAACUACGUG
rnacentral:rRNA from 1 species